rnacentral:tRNA from 1 species
AAAGAUUUAGUUAAAUUAUAACAUUAGUUUGUCAAACUAAAAUUAUUAAUAAAUAAAUAAUAAUUUUUA